AGUUAAUGAACUUGAAUAAGUAUAUAUUUUGAAAAUAUAAUAUAGAUCAUUUGAUCUAUUAACUU
rnacentral:tRNA from 1 species